GAAAGGGACUGGAACGCUCAGGUGCGAAAGCGUGGGGAGCAAACAGGAUUARAUACCCUGGUAGUCCACGCCGUAAACGAUGUCGACUUGGAGGUUGUGCCCUUGAGGCGUGGCUUCCGGAGCUAACGCGUUAAGUCGACCGCCUGGGGAGUACGGCCGCAAGGUUAAAACUCAAAUGAAUUGACGGGGGCCCGCACAAGCGGUGGAGCAUGUGGUUUAAUUCGAUGCAACGCGAAGAACCUUACCUACUCUUGACAUCCAGAGAACUUAGCAGAGAUGCUUUGGUGCCUUCGGGAACUCUGAGACAGGUGCUGCAUGGCUGUCGUCAGCUCGUGUUGUGAAAUGUUGGGUUAAGUCCCGCAACGAGCGCAACCCUUAUCCUUUGUUGCCAGCGRUYCGGYCGGGAACUCAAAGGAGACUGCCAGUGAUAAACUGGAGGAAGGUGGGGAUGACGUCAAGUCAUCAUGGCCCUUACGAGUAGGGCUACACACGUGCUACAAUGGCAUAUACAAAGAGAAGCGACCUCGCGAGAGCAAGCGGACCUCAUAAAGUAUGUCGUAGUCCGGAUUGGAGUCUGCAACUCGACUCCAUGAAGUCGGAAUCGCUAGUAAUCGUAGAUCAGAAUGCUACGGUGAAUACGUUCCCGGGCCUUGUACACACCGCCCGUCACACCAUGGGAGUGGGUUGCAAAAGAAGUAGGUAGCUU
rnacentral:rRNA from 1 species